CUUGUUUUGAAAGCCUCUUUUGCAAAAACAGGCACCGUCAUGUUUCAAAACAUGCCUUCCGAAGGACAACAUACUGCAGAUUUUUGGUCUUUUAUGGCUCUUUUUGUGUGGAUUACUCAGUUUUUUUGGGGGAUUUUGCCCAUCGAUUGUGGAUUAUUGGAACUAGCAGGCAUUGCCUUUGAUGCAUAAUAAUAAGAGGACGCACGUGAUUUUACAGGCUGUCAGGAUUUGCUACAUCACACCGAGGAAAUGCUCCACCCAGGGAUGGAUUACUGACCAGGCCACUGGGGCCAGUACUGGGGCCUCAGAUGAGGAUGACGUCUGGCAUGUGGAAGGUCUUCAGAGCUCACCACUCAACACAUAACCAAAUCCCUAAAGUACUUCCCGUCAUCGCCGACACACGAGCCAGCUUUAUAUUGGUUUACCACAACAGUCAUUUUCAUGCGCUGCCUUUUACUUGAGUACAGCCACCUCUAGUUUUAAACAAAGGAAACAAAAAUACAUGUAAAUGUGUUCUGUCACUUGAAUCAACAAUAAAGCAGUAAUGAGCCAUUUUGUGUUCCUCCAUUUUGAGGCAGAUCUCACACACAGCGACGCUCCUCUAAACCACAAGAUGACUAGGCACCAACGGUGUGGUACACUGACUCUAAAUGUAAUCGGUAGCAAUCUUUUAGAUAGUUAUUGGUUCUAAAAUUGGCGUAUUGUUUUUAAACCAUCUGAAGAUAAGCUCUAAGUUUCCUCCUUUAAUUCAAAACCACAACAACUAUUACACACUUUAUGGGCACAAGUAAGAAUGAAUAGACUGAUUUACUGAUGCUGCCUAAUCAAAAACGUAAUCAUUAAAACAGCACACUAUAAAACUGUAAUCUUAACUAAAGCUUAAGUAACUUUGGGAGAAAUCUGCUGCAAAGAACACUAAAUGCAACGACUCUGUAACACAAAUAAAAGUCCCACGAUGACACAAAGCAAAGCAUGGAAAAAUUGAAGAAUGUAUGACGUGAAAAAGAUUCCUCUUGAAUUUUAAUCUCUCUCUUCUCAAAAGGUCAUGUAAGGCCAUUUUUCUUCCUUUCUUUAGCUAGAUUAUGUAUAAGCUAUUACAAUUCUGCUAUGACAUAAUCUCCAUGAUUAUGUGAUAAACACUCGGCACUAAUCCAGCAGAAACUGCUACAUCAGAUACCAAAGAGAAAUCAAAGAAUCUGUAACAAAUCAGUCCUGAAAUAGCUCUCACUCACACUGUGAUGUGGUGUUGUUAGCUGUGUAUUUUUGAGGUCAGUAGAGGGUUUUAGUAGUUCCAGCAUGAUGGCCUACUUUUAAAUGUUCAUCUUUACUGAAGUGCUUCAAUUCUGUGUUAUUUCGUCAGCAGUCUGGGCACAAAAAGACAGUCUAUCCUCAGAGAACGUGUAAUUCUCAGAGAAAAGCUUGUAGCCCUUGUCAAGCUUGCUGCUCUCCGAAAAGGAAAACUGCUUCAUCAAACAAAAAAUGUCUUUGGAGGACAAAAUUCAUAAAUACCUUAAUGAAUCUAAGCUGCUCUACAUCAGGCAUGUCAAACUGAGGACCUUCCAGACAAAAGUUAACGCCUACCCUCAUCCAACACUCUGAAUUCAGGCCAUUUAGGCCUCACUAGUUAGCUGACAAGCUGCACCAGGUGUGUUUAAUGAGGCAGUGUGUUGAAGUCUGCAGUGUUUUGGCCUGCGAGGACUGGAGCCUGACACAUGUGCUCUACAUUCUCAUUCAAAAACUCACCCAUUGUAAUGUUUUCCCUGCUAGGAUGACGUCUGGCAUGUGGAAGGUCUUCAGAGCUCACCACUCAACACAUAACCAAAUCCCUAAAGUACUUCCCGUCAUCGCCGACACACGAGCCAGCUUUAUAUUGGUUUACCACAACAGUCAUUUUCAUGCCCUGCCUUUUACUUGAGUACAGCCACCUCUAGUUUUAAACAAAGGAAACAAAAAUACAUGUAAAUGUGUUCUGUCACUUGAAUCAACAAUAAAGCAGUAAUGAGCCAUUUUGUGUUCCUCCAUUUUGAGGCAGAUCUCACACACAGCGACGCUCCUCUAAACCACAAGAUGACUAGGCACCAACGGUGUGGUACACUGACUCUAAAUGUAAUCGGUAGCAAUCUUUUAGAUAGUUAUUGGUUCUAAAAUUGGCGUAUUGUUUUUACACCAUCUGAAGAUAAGCUCUAAAUUUCCUCCUUUAAUUCAAAACCACAACGACUAUCACAGAAUUUAUGGGCACAAGUAAGAAUGAAUAGACUGAUUUACUGAUGCUGCCUAAUCAAAAACGUAAUCAUUAAAACAGCACACUAUAAAACUGUAAUCUUAACUAAAGCUUAAGUAACUUUGGG